AUCUGGAUGAAAUUCUGGCCGAGAAGACGGUAAAGGUGCUUAAUGCCAUGCACACACUUGGACAUAUUAUUAUUUGGACAUAUCCGCGACAAGCCCCAAAUUGGGCCAUGCCUGUCUCUUUGUAUUUUUCCUUGCAGAGCAGCAAACAAAACUCACUUUUCACUUUCUCAGUUGUUGGAUGUUUGGAGAUCCAAAUGAAUCCCGACCGUCUGGGAGCUCGGCUCAGAUUUAAGCUUUACUACGCCUUCACGUUAAAAUACACAAAAAGACAUGAAUUCAAAUAAAAUGAAAUAAAAACUCACUUCAAAUUGAGCUUCUCGGCCGUCAGACAAAAGAGGCCAUGUGGCACCCACAAAAGCUUUAAAAACUUCCUACCACUUUGCAACAAGGAGACUGCUUAAAUGAAUCCCUUAAUUAUGAGCGACAUCAAUCCUUUCAUUAAAGCAGUAAGUUUACAGUAAGUCUACAACAUGCUCAUAAAGCAAGAGUUCAUCUUACUUCAGCUGGUUUUGAACUCAAUAGAAAAAGAAAAACCGUUGCAUUUUUUUUCAUCUUAAAGUCCGAUUUAGUCCAGAUGACCUGUUGUGCCCGCCUUUUUCUUUGCAGGUAAAAAAGAAGAAGCUAUUUAUGAAGAAAUACCGGAUGCAUUGUUUCAGCCACAAAAUGACAGAUUAAACCAAAAUGAUCCCACGUAUUCCACCAUCUCUGAGCUUCCUCUGAUGGAGAAGCCAACUGACACAAUUCUACCUAAUGAGUCCCCUUACUCCUGCAUCGGAGACACGUUAGGUAGAGAUUACACAGAUUUGACGCAGUCGAAUGAAAGCCCAUAUUUUUUACUGAAGAAACCUGAAACACCCGAGAACAACAACGACGUGACGUCUGCAGUUUGAGCGGAAAAUUCUUCAGUUGUCGAUAAAACCU